AACUUUCGGCAAUGGAUCUCUUGGCUCUCGCAUCGAUGAAGAACGCAUCGAAAUGCGAUAAGUAAUGUGAAUUGCAGAAUUCAGCGAAUCAUCGAAUCUUUGAACGCAUCUUGCGCCCCUUGGUAUUCCGAGGAGCAUGCCUGUUUGAGUGUCAUUUGACCUUCUCUCAACCAGAUCAGUCAAUGAUGUGGCUUGGAUGUGGGGUUGCAGGCUUCCGAGUAUGAAAGUCCAGCUCCCCUGAAAUGCAUUAGUGGUAUCUGUCUGAGCUGCUAUUUGGUGUGAUAACUUAUCUAUGCCUUUUGGUGAUCAGCACCGCUUAUAACCAUCGAUUUGACAAAUUUGACCUCAAAUCAGGUAGGACUACCCGCUGAACUUAAGCAUAUCACUAAGCGGAGGCU
rnacentral:misc_RNA from 1 species